UUCCCAAUGCCUGUACCACCACACCCAAAGACCCAAAGCUUGUAGAAAACCAGGUCCCUCCCACCACAGGACAAGCAGGAUAUUUGAAGGGCAUUGGUAUCCUCAGGGUAGAAAUCUACAAUCUUGCUGAGGGCUUCCCCAUCACGUGAACCUGCAGUGGAGAAAGGGGACUAAGAAUCCAGAGAGUUCCAGUGACACCCCACCUCUCACAGCUUUCUGGUACCUUCCAAGCGGCUGUGUCGACUGGAGAAGCCACCCUGGAACUGCACCUGCAGCUGUGUGAUCUGAACACGCUGGGGAAACUCGAGUGACACCCACUGGCAGGGGCCCUAGAAGCAGACGAAUAAAACAGAGGCACUUGGUAACUACAAGAUUAGGGUCCUAUGGUGUUCCGCUCAUCUUUCAAGAGUUACUGCUACAGCCAGCACAGGAAGGGUAUGAGCACACUGCUUUCUAGGUCUCCCCAAAGUUCUCAAGGCGCCCUGCAGUCCUGCAUCGGCUUCACACUUGGGAUGGAGGGGUGUAGAAACACCUCACCUGGUCAGAGUUCCAGCACGUCUCUUCAUCCUGGUCAAAAAGAUGUUUCUUUCCAAAUUGCCGGCUGUUGCGAUUAAGCACAGAACUGACCCUGCAGGACAGAAGCAGGGGUAGGAGCCUCAAUGCUACCGACUUACACAGGAGCAUUCUUGCUGUGAGCCACCCACCGACCAGGCCGGCCAGUCCCACCCCCAAGAACUCCGCCAUCAACAGCCAGGAACAUGAUCACCUAACGGCACCCCCAGCCAGGAACACAAACACCAGACCGCGCUUCCAGCCAGGGGAUAGGAGCACUAGGCAGCAAGCACCCCAGACCC
rnacentral:lncRNA from 1 species